GGGCGGUUGGCUCAGCUGGUAGAGCGCUUCCUUCACACGGAAGAGGUCACAGGUUCGAGUCCUGUACCGCCCACCA
rnacentral:tRNA from 2 species